rnacentral:rRNA from 1 species
UAGGGAAUAUUGCACAAUGGAGGAAACUCUGAUGCAGCGACGCCGCGUGAGUGAUGAAGGACUUCGGUUCGUAAAGCUCUGUCGUAUGGGAAUAACAAAAUGAAGGUACCAUGCAAGAAAGGAUCGGCUAACUUCGUGCCAGCAGCCGCGGUAAGACGAGGGAUCCUAGCGUUGUUCGGAAUCAUUGGGCGUAAAGCGGGUGCAGGUGGCUUUGUAAGUCAGGUGUGAAAUCCCAGGGCUCAACCCUGGACGUGCAUUUGAUACUGCGAAGCUUGAGUGUAGGAGAGGCAAUUAGAAUUCCAGGUGUAGUGGUGAAAUACGUAGAUAUCUGGAGGAAUACCGGUGGCGAAGGCGGAUUGCUGGCCUAACACUGACACUCAGACCCGAAAGUAUGGGGAUC